rnacentral:rRNA from 1 species
GCCAGACUCCUACGGGAGGCAGCAGUGGGGAAUAUUGCACAAUGGGGGAAACCCUGAUGCAGCGACGCCGCGUGAGGGAAGAAGGUUUUCGGAUUGUAAACCUCUGUCCUUGGUGACGAAAGAAGACGGUAGCCAAGGAGGAAGCCACGGCUAACUACGUGCCAGCAGCCGCGGUAAUACGUAGGUGGCAAGCGUUGUCCGGAUUUACUGGGUGUAAAGGGCGUGUAGCCGGGUUGACAAGUCAGAUGUGAAAUCCUGCGGCUUAACCGCAGAACUGCAUUUGAAACUGUUGAUCUUGAGUACUGGAGAGGCAGACGGAAUUCCUAGUGUAGCGGUGAAAUGCGUAGAUAUUAGGAGGAACACCAGUGGCGAAGGCGGUCUGCUGGACAGCAACUGACGGUGAGGCGCGAAAGCGUGGGGAGCAAACAGGAUUAGAUACCCUAGUA